UUCAGGAAGCUUCUGGAACACACGACCCCUCUGCAAUGGAAACAAGAUCUGCAUCCCCAGCUUCAGACGUGUUCUUGAGCCCUGACCAAAGAGUUCACCUUGAAUUGGGAACCUUCUGAAAGCUACCCGUGAGGGACCUCAAAUAGAACCUCUGGAGAAGCCGUGCAGCACCCAUGCCAAACAAUACCACAGCGCGUUCAGGGACCCUCCACUGGCUUCAGGAUCUCCUGGAGGAAAAACUAAGCCAUGUCAUUCCCGGGAAAGGGGCUCCAGGCAGGACGGAAGAGGGAAGAGCGAUCCAGAUCUAACAUUUGAAGGUGAGCCACAUCUUGUCCUUUGCGUUCUCCAUGGAGCCUUCAAGGACGGUGCUGGGGCUUGGUAGCUGUGGUUGCUAUGGACACUGUGGCAUAAGGAGAGGGCUGUGGCCAUUGGCCUUUGAAGAUGAAGCUCGCCUUUUCCAGAUGGCUUCCUUUCUUUUCCCUUCAAGGUCGCACAGGGAGGAAGGGAAUUUCUUAUUGCUUCCUUCUUCCGCCCUACCACCCCACUCACCAGGCCCUGAAGAUCCCCAUGAAGUGACAGGAGCCCUGUUGCCUCCCUUCUACCAAGGAGAUGUCACUGCUUAGUUGGCGUGUGAGCUCAGACAAAGGAAUGACCUUGGGAAAGGACACUUGAUGCGUAAACAAGAAUGGGCACUGGUGUGUCUAUUUACCACAUCCAGGUUGUGGGGGAAGCUGGCUUGGCUUCUGUGACACCUAGGCAGACUGUUUAUGGCAGUAACACACAGAGAAUUGAAGGGAAGGAGGGCACUGAGCUGCCCUGCCCCAUCCCUAUGUGAAGGUCACAUCCCUUCCUUUCAGUAUACGGCUGAGAUCUGGGUCUGUCUGUCCUUGUUGGUUGUAAAAAAAUUAUCUCUUGUGUCAUGGAUGAAAAGGAGGGUGGUGGCCAAAUGUCUCUAAACCCAAGUUCUCGUAGGCCACUGUUCCCUUCUAACCUUUUUAAAGCGAAGUACAUUAGGGGACAGGGUGUAGUUCAAUUGAUAGGGUGCACGCUUAGUAGGUCCAAAGUCCUGGGCUCCUUUUCUCGUGUUCCAUAAGCCAGCUGUGGUGGUGCAUGCUUGUAAUCCCAGCACUUGGGGACAUGUGGACAGGCCACACACAAACCCUUUGUCUCCAGUGUUCCAUGCUCCUGUCCUGGAAGUGCACUGCUAGAAUGUAAUUUGUACUAAGUCUCUAGAACAUUCUCUCUAGUUGCAUCUAUAAUGACUGUCCCAAGGCCACAUUCAAUAAGAAAUGGCACAAGUGGGUAGAGGAGGAGACAGAAGUAGAGGAAUUUGAGCUCAGCUCUUGAGGGAAUGAAGGCCUAAAAUGAGAGUGCACCCAACCAGGCACCCCAGGGAGCUCUAAGUCUGCCCUAAAGGAGGCCUCUAGGAGCCUGCUCAAGACAGUAGUCUAAAAAUUUGUAAAGAUGCCCCUGGCUGGUCUCGGCAGCACACACACCAGGUGUCUCAGCACCUAGGAGAUGGCAACAAGGCUUCUCAAGAGAGCUAAGUCAUCCUUGGCUAAGAGUGCACCUGAGGCCUUCCUGGGUGACAUACUUGAAACCCUUCCUCAAGACUCAUUUAAACGUCAUGCUGCAUUCCCCUUCACCCAAUUUCCCAUUCCAAGAUCACCAGCAGGGCUCCCAGCCAUUCUUGAGGAAUUCUUUUUUUUUUUUAAAUAUUUAUUUAUUUAUUAUGUGUACAAUAUUCUGUCUGUGUGUAUGCCUGCAGAUGGUUGUGAGCCACCAUGGGGUUGCUGGGAAUUGAACUCAGGACCCUUGGAAGAGCAGGCAAUGCUCUUAACCUCUGAGCCAUCUCUCCAGCCCUUGAGGAAUUCUUGACUCCCCCCACACACUAUUGUUUGUGGUUUUGUUUGUUUUUCGAGACAGGGUUUCUCUGUAGCUUUGGAGCCUGUCCUGGAGCUAGCUCUUGUAGACCAGGCUGGCCUCGAACUCAGAGAUCCGCCUGCCCUCUGCUUCCGAAGUGUGUGAGAGGUGCUCUUUCUUUUUCUUUUUUUUCCCCAAGCACAUGUAGAUAGAUUGAGAGUCGCUCUUAACAGUACCUAACUAUUAGUGCUCACAGUGACCUGGGAGUCCCAUGCAGUGUCUCGUUUAAUCUUCUCAGCAAUUCUUAGGAAACAGUCUUUGGCCCACGUGAUUCCUGAGGGAGACAGGCGUGGGCUUUACUCAUCACUCAAAGCCUCAAAACUCCUGGGUAACGGAGCCCAGUGACUGCCCGCACAGUCCUGGUGUUGGUUGCAGGAGUUUCCGUUUCAUUCACUGGGAUAAGUAGCCCGCUUCCAGGACUCUGGCCUGUCUCUACAAUCUCAUCUUCAGCCUACCCCAAACCUGCCCCAGUCCUUUGCAAAGCAUCUGCUCCCCAUUGAGAGACAUAAGCUCCCCGCCAGCAGACACUAACAUAUCUGUUCUGGAUGGAAACUGAAGGGAUUCUUGAGUUGAGGCAGAUUCAGAAGCCUCCGGUUAUGCCCUCGACUCCACAAAUCAGGCAUUGUUCGGGUUGAUCUUUGCUCCACUGGGAUCUCCCUGGAUUGGCUGGAGAUCGUGGACACGGUCCAAGUAGGGCUCUAUGUCUGGAGCCUCUGCUAUGUCUUCCCUUUGGGGUCAUCUUCUCCCUGUGACAUCACCUGGGGCUAAGAUGCCGGAAAGGGCUUUGGCGGGCAGGUCCCUGGUGCCUCUACCUUUUUUAUGUGUCCACUCUCUGGGCUGUCCGAGCCCACACUAGGACUAUCCCUCUCCACUGCACUCCACUUUCCCUGGCCUCUCUCUAGCCAGUGCCACCUAAGGCAGUCACAGAUGAAAGAUUCUGCCUCUGUGCAUGAGUUCUCUUCUUUGGACCAGAAUCUAAUGCAGGCUGGUCAGCAACUUUUAAAGUCAUUUGACUGAAAAAUGGAAGGAAAUCCAGUCAGGCCGGUUAGGUCCCACCCCCACCCCCUUUUUUGGGGAAUCUAAACCUGAAAUCUGACUCAUUGACAGUACGUAACAAGAUGUUAUGCUGGUAAGUAGGAUUUUGAUGGUCUGAUGUUCUGGCCACAAUCACAAUGGAGAAAGUUAGUGAGGAAAUAGGAAAUAAGUUUAUGAUAUGGGGAAGAUCCACUUCCUGUGGAACAAAGGAAAAGGAGAGAACGCUCAGAGCCGGCCAUGACUAGUGAGCCGCCCGCCUCUCUGUCCUGUGCCCCACCAGGCCCAUCCUUGCCUGUCUGUGUCACUGGAGCAAGCUCGUAUUGUUUGCUUUUGCUGUUGAUUGACUUAGAAGUGGCCGUGCGAUUCAGUUCUGCUAAUAGACUUACGGGGAGACCAGGAUAAGAUGAGAGACGGAAGCUGUGGUCCCUGACGACACUGUUGAGCCACCAUACCUGCCUGCCUUACACCUGAUGACUGUACGAGACUGCCGUCCCCUGAGUCCCAUCCUGCCCCUGUGGCCUGGAACAUUCCUCAGCUCUUCACAGAACUUGGCGGCCUCCCUGCCCCUCAUUGCUGCUCUGUGGGCCUCUCUAAGCAGAGGAAACGAGCCCAGCUGCUUUUCUUCCUAAGUGUUGGGAGAAACCCGGCUCAGAUGGUAGGAAAUCAACAGGAACAAACCAACCUCAGUGAUCAGUCAUAACCCUUCAGGCUUACUGGACAAGACCAGGAAGGAUAAAUAGUUCUGGAAAUUUCCAUAGGCAUGAGCCCAAGUCUUCUCAAACAGGGCUGAGGCAUAACUUUUCAGAAGAAAAGACACUUUGGGGGGGGAGGCAGUAGUGGGUGUUAGUGCCUGAGACCCAGAGCCUAAAGAGUGAGAAGUCAGAAUAGACUGGGUGAGUGACUUCUGAAGGCAGUGCCAGUAUCUACAGCUGGCUGUUGUUAGCAGCAGGUGCAAAAGCCGUGGUCAGGAGCCAGCCCGAGUGUUUUCAGAUGGUCCUCUUGGGAGGAACAGUGCUAACCGGUGCCUGCUGCCCUUCCUGUGCUCCGGCAAUAUACCAUCUACACUCCUCACCUCUUCUCCCUCGCUCCCUUUUUUUCUUCUACCUUUUGUUCAAGUGAUGAAGGCAGGAGCUGGAAGUGCGAGCCACCAACCUGCAUCCCUUUCACGCAGCUAAGCCCUGGGAGAUGGGGAGGCUGGGGUGUGGUUCGGUUGGCAGAGUGCUUGCCUAGCUGGCACAAAGCCCUGGCUUUGAUCCCCAGCACCGCGUAAACUAGGCACGGCUGUAUGGGCUUGUAAUCCUACCCCUUGGGAGUGGAGACGGGAGGGUAAGAUCAUUGGAGAAGCUGGACUCAAGGCCUGGCCCCUCAGGAUGUGCCUUGUGCACCCCAGGGAGCGUAUGGAGCCAAAUGCCAAGGCCGGUAGCUCGCAGUUGUCUAGUGUAGACUUCAUUCGCUCGAUGGGAAGAGACUAAAACCAGCAAAGUGAAUCUCAGCUUGUGAAAGGGACAAGGAAGAUGAGUCACACAGAGGGGAAAAACUCCCGUGAGGCAGAAAAGGAGCAGAAGCUUGGGCUGGGAGUGAAAAGGCAAAAAAGAAGCAUUUAAAUGCCGCUCCCUCCCCGAUAAUUUUUUGUAUGUAUAGUACCAGAGAUUAAACCUUGGACCUCACGCAUUCUGGAAAGUUUUCUCCCACUGAGCCACACCCCAGCCCCUCACUGGGGGAUUCUAGGCAGGUGCUCUACCACUGAGCUACCUCCCAGCCUCUUUUGACUUUUGAUUUUGAGACAAGGUCUUAAUGAGUUGCCUAGGCUGGCCUGAAUCUCACUCUGUAGCCCAGGCUGGCCUUAGACUCACAUCCUUUCUCCUGCUUAGCCUGCUGAGUCACUGGGAUUAUAGAUUUGCCUCCAGACUGUAAUAGACUCACCAAGCUAUUGCUGACACUUGAAACCCAAAGUCUCACCCACUCCCAACCCCAGCAAGCCUCCCUAUAGAGAUCACAGCUUUGUAUUCUCUUACAUCCAAUAAAGGGAAGCAUCAGCUUUCCCUGCUCCUUCACACAAGGACUUCAGGCCAUGAGAUGGUGUGGUUAAGCGCCCCCCACCUCUAUGGGUGUCAUUUCAUUCCUGUGGGUCUCUGAUGAGAAGCCCAGAGCCAUCCCUGCAGGCCAACUCCUCUUGUAGCUUCCUUUCCAAGCAAACAGUCCGCCUGAGCACAUUACCCCCAGCUUCUCCUAAGGGCAUUGUCAUAGCCCUUAGUUGUGACUGAUUUAGGGUUCAGAUGACUUAGCUGAUAGUGUCUGACAUGAAGUAGCCCACACAGUCUGUAGGUUAGGAUUCUGACAAAGGCUCUUCACCUCCCAUUGUCUCUCCUGGGUCUCAGUCUGCUACACAAUCCCAGCUGUCUAAUUAGCUCCCAAGUACUAGGGAAAGGGAUUGAUUGACGUACCUUGGCUAGCAUAGGGCUUUUCCCCAGUGUGAAUUCCCUGAGGUUGAAUGAGUUUCCUGAUCUCGAAAGCCUUCACUUUCGAGAAGCGGUCACUGUGGUGGGUUUCUGUUGAGUGGAAAGGAGCGAGGGUGCGUGGGGAUGCCGACUGAUGCCUCCCACAUCCCCAGGAUUCUCUCCAAGGUAGAAGUAAUGAAGUCCGGAAGGUUAGGAGCCUCCAGGAAAACUGUUUUGUGUUUACGACAGUCACUGCUGUUCCCGCCAGUACCGACACUGUAAUACUGAAUAAACUCGAUCCAGACAUGA